rnacentral:rRNA from 1 species
CUGUCGGUGACGCAGCUAACGCAUUAAGCACUCCGCCUGGGGAGUACGGUCGCAAGAUUAAAACUCAAAGGAAUUGACGGGGGCUCACACAAGCGGUGGAGCAUGUGGCUUAAUUCGAGGCUACGCGAAGAACCUUAUCCUGGGCUUGACAUGUGCGAAAGCGGCAGCAGGUAGGACCCGGAAACGGGAACGAACGGUAUCCAACCCGGAAGCUGCCACAGGUGCUGCAUGGCUGUCGUCAGCUCGUG